GCGAGUGAAGCGGUAACAGCUCAAAUUUGAAAUCUGGCUCCUCGGGGCCCGAAUUGUAAUUUGUAGAAGAUGCUUUGGGUCUGGGCCUGGCCUAAGUUCCUUGGAACAGGACGUCGUAGAGGGUGAGAAUCCCGUAUGCGGCUGGCGCCCGUGCCCGUGUAAAGCUCUUUCGACGAGUCGAGUUGUUUGGGAAUGCAGCUCUAAAUGGGUGGUAAAUUUCAUCUAAAGCUAAAUAUUGGCCAGAGACCGAUAGCGCACAAGUAGAGUGAUCGAAAGAUGAAAAGCACUUUGGAAAGAGAGUUAAACAGUACGUGAAAUUGUUGAAAGGGAAGCGCUGGCAACCAGACUUGGGCGCUGUUGAUCCGCUAGGGUUCUCUCUAGGGCACUCGGCAGCGCGCAGGCCAGCAUCGGUUUGGGGGGUUGGAGAAUGGCUGGUGGAAUGUGGCUGUCUUCGGGCAGUGUUAUAGCCACCGGUGGCAUGCAGCCUCCCCGGACCGAGGACCGCGCUUCGGCUAGGAUGCUGGCGUAAUGGUUGUCAGCGACCCGUCUUGAAACACGGACCAAGGAGUCUAACAUCUAUGCGAGUGUUUGGGUGUUAAACCCAUACGCGGAAUGAAAGUGAACGUAGGUGAGAACCCGUAAGGGUGCAUCAUCGACCGAU
rnacentral:rRNA from 1 species